CUUUUUGUAUGACAUGGACUUAUUGGGUCUGAAAUAAAGUUUGUAUACCGAUAGAUAGAUAGAUAGAUAGAUAGAUAGAUAGAUAGAUAGAUAGACAGAUAGAUAGAUAGAUAGAUAGAUAGAUAGAUAGAUAGAUAGAUAGAUAGAUAGAUAGAUAGAUAGAUAGUAAUUUCAGCAUGUAGGUAAUCUGUGUUUGAAAUAUUACCAUCUUGAUCAUGUCAUGUUGACAAUAGUUUGUUGACACAAAAGAAAUGGCUAUUGCAUAUCACUGUCACCUACACAGGACAGUCGUUA